ACCAGUCUACUAGUAUUCAUGGGAGUUCAUAGGGAUGUCCCCGCUACAUGCAAACCUUUUCCUUUAACAAUCUCAAUUACGUGUUGUCUCCAUACCCCGUCUGGUAUGAGUACCAACUUAUUAAACUUCAAUACACCAUCUGAUAUGAGGGUGAAGUAUGUCGUCCCCAUACCCUGUCCGGUAUGAGCACUAAAUUAUCAUGUCUCCAUACCCCGUCUGGUAUGAGACAAUGUUUAUGGUAGUAUUUUCUAUGUACCCAGUCUGUCCACCGUCUCUAAGGAUAUCCAGUAAGGCCGUUGUCUUCAUCUAUUCAUCUUCCCACAAAACUUUUUCAUUUUUCGUUAAUCUCCG
rnacentral:lncRNA from 1 species